AUGAAUGCUUUUCAUGGGCUUGCAAUUAAUGGCUUCCUCUGUUUGUUUUCAGAUAGCACCCAAGACCACUUGAGCAGAGGCGGUACAUUCACAGUGAGCUGGACCCUCACCUAUCAACUAUUGACCAAGAAAAUGGCCUGCAGUCUCUCCCAUAAGCAAUCUGCAAUUAAAACAAAGAAACUUGGAGAGAAGUGAAACUUGGGGAGGCAUUCACAUUGGCAAAGAUAGUGAGAAGACAUCACUCUUAGAGCCUGAGUAGAUAAGGACUUGGGGAAAGAAGAGGAAGUCCAUGGCUUCUUCAGUCACACUGGUCUGGCCACAGGAUGUGAUCGUAUCCAAGGGGCUUGAAGCUUGAACAUGAAAAUAUGACUUUGCAUCAUGAACUCAGUACCCAGGAUGGAAAGCAGGUGGGAUAAGGUGGGUAACUCCGUGGUCCCUGAGUGGAAAGAGGUUAAUAUUAAACCUAGGGAAGCCCUUCCAUCACUUUCUGCUUGGAGCUACAUAUACUUUGGGGAAGGGGGCCUACAGUAGCUCUGGUUCUAUGGCUGUACCAAAGACUUCAGUGGCAUUUGGACACAGUUGUCACUUCCUCAUUUUAUCUACCAGCUUUCCUAGCCCUCACUUGCUGAUUUAUCU
rnacentral:sRNA from 1 species